CAUGAAGCUGGAAUCGCUAGUAAUCGCGGAUCAGAAUGCCGCGGUGAAUACGUUCCCGGGUCUUGUACACACCGCCCGUCACACCAUGGGAGUCGGAAAUGCCCGAAGUCUGUGACCUAACCGUAAGGGAGGAGCAGCCGAAGGCAGGUCGGAUGACUGGGGUGAAGUCGUAACAAGGUACC
rnacentral:rRNA from 1 species